CUUCUUCACGCAACUGUGGGGGACGGAUGUGCGCAAAAGGAUGAGCAACCAGUGCACAUGGCCUCAAGCUUUUCUUUACUGUUAACCCACCAAAGCUAGUCUUUAUAUAAACCCAACUAGCAAGGAGAGACCAUAUAGAAUAAGAGAAGAUCAGAAACACUCCAAAGAAUAGACCAUUUGGUGACAUCUCUAUGGCCGAGCUAGCUCAGCAGUUGAAGGUUAAGCUCUCCAACCUUGUUCAACGCGUCACAAGCUUCAAAUUUGGCAGCUCCAAGGAAGAAAAAGAAAACUCGGGUGAAGGGAAUGCUAAAGUGGGAUCUACGAUAGUGCAGAGUAGAGCUGCUGACAUUGAUGGUUCUGCAAAAAUUCCUGACGUAUCCGCAGGCCAUGGGCCAGAGCAUAACUGAGGAGCAUUUGGUUUCAGCAAGAUGGUUGCAAAGUCGCAUGCUAACUUUGAUGUUUUGUGUCUAGCUUAUUAGAACCAAAUAAAGCGAGAUGCUAAGUAUGAUAUGCUUUUUGUUUGUUUUGUUUCCGUUUUUUCUUUCUCUUGUUUCUUGUUAAUCGUGUCAUUUCCUGUUUCCCCUAUCUAUAUUUGGCCCACAUUGUGAGGAAACUAAAAUGGUGGCUUGAAUUUGUGCUAAUUUGCCCUAAACAUUUCACUGAUUAUUGAAACUCCUAAAGAAAGUGGAAUUGUUUUA